GGGACUGUGGGAUUCUUUCAUCAGUUUGUCUCGUUAGACAGGUCAGAGUGUGUUUGGGGACUGUGGGAUUCUUUCAUCAGUUUGUCUCGUUAGACAGGUCAGAGUGUGUUUGGGGACUGUGGGAUUCUUUCAUCAGUUUGUCUCGUUAGACAGGUCAGAGUGUGUUUGGGGACUGUGGGAUUCUUUCAUCAGUUUGUCUCGUUAGACAGGUCAGAGUGUGUUUGGGGACUGUGGGAUUCUUUCAUCAGUUUGUCUCGUUAGACAGGUCAGAGUGUGUUUGGGGACUGUGGGAUUCUUUCAUCAGUUUGUCUCGUUAGACAGGUCAGAGUGUGUUUGGGGACUGUGGGAUUCUUUCAUCAGUUUGUCUCGUUAGACAGGUCAGAGUGUGUUUGGGGACUGUGGGAUUCUUUCAUCAGUUUGUCUCGUUAGACAGGUCAGAGUGUGUUUGGGGACUGUGGGAUUCUUUCAUCAGUUUGUCUCGUUAGACAGGUCAGAGUGUGUUUGGGGACUGUGGGAUUCUUUCAUCAGUUUGUCUCGUUAGACAGGUCAGAGUGUGUUUGGGGACUGUGGGAUUCUUUCAUCAGUUUGUCUCGUUAGACAGGUCAGAGUGUGUUUGAAGUUGUUGAGGUAUGGAGUUUUCUUGGCAAUACACUGUAGACUUGUGUUUCAAAGUAGAGAGACCCACAGUAGCUACUGUUAUUUAGUACUGGCAGUGUCUGCUGUGGCAGGUACAAGUUACCUGAAAAAUAUCUAAUCUCUCAAUGUUCUAAUCUCAAAGUGCACCAAAUCCAUGCAUUUACAGUUUACAUUUACAUUUAAGUCAUUUAGCAGACGCUCUUAUCCAGAGCGACUUACAAAUUGGUGCAUUCAUCUUAUGACAUCCAGUGGAACAGCCACUUUACA